GCAGACGGGUGAGUAAUGUAUAGGAAUCUACCUAGUAGUACGGAAUAAUUGUUGGAAACGACAACUAAUACCGUAUACGCCCUACGGGGGAAAAAUUUAUUGCUAUUAGAUGAGCCUAUAUUAGAUUAGCUAGUUGGUGGGGUAAUAGCCUACCAAGGUAAUGAUCUAUAGCUGAUCUGAGAGGAUGAUCAGCCACACUGGAACUGAGAUACGGUCCAGACUCCUACGGGAGGCAGCAGUGGGGAAUAUUGGACAAUGGGCGAAAGCCUGAUCCAGCCAUGCCGCAUGAGUGAAGAAGGCCUUUGGGUUGUAAAGCUCUUUUAGUGAGGAAGAUAAUGACGGUACUCACAGAAGAAGUCCUGGCUAACUCCGUGCCAGCAGCCGCGGUAAUACGGAGAGGGCUAGCGUUAUUCGGAAUUAUUGGGCGUAAAGGGCGCGUAGGCUGGUUAAUAAGUUAAAAGUGAAAUCCCGAGGCUUAACCUUGGAAUUGCUUUUAAAACUAUUAAUCUAGAGAUUGAAAGAGGAUAGGGGAAUUCCUGAUGUAGAGGUAAAAUUCGUAAAUAUUAGGAGGAACACCAGUGGCGAAGGCGUCUAUCUGGUUCAAAUCUGACGCUGAAGCGCGAAGGCGUGGGGAGCAAACAGGAUUAGAUACCCUGGUAGUCCACGCUGUAAACGAUGAAUGUUAAAUAUGGGGAGUUUACUUUCUGUAUUACAGCUAACGCGUUAAACAUUCCGCCUGGGGACUACGGUCGCAAGAUUAAAACUCAAAGGAAUUGACGGGGACCCGCACAAGCGGUGGAGCAUGUGGUUUAAUUCGAUGCAACGCGAAAAACCUUACCACUUCUUGAC
rnacentral:rRNA from 1 species